GAUGAACGCUGGCGGCGUGCCUAAUACAUGCAAGUCGAGCGAACAGACGAGGAGCUUGCUCCUCUGACGUUAGCGGCGGACGGGUGAGUAACACGUGGAUAACCUACCUAUAAGACUGGGAUAACUUCGGGAAACCGGAGCUAAUACCGGAUAAUAUAUUGAACCGCAUGGUUCAAUAGUGAAAGACGGUUUUGCUGUCACUUAUAGAUGGAUCCGCGCCGCAUUAGCUAGUUGGUAAGGUAACGGCUUACCAAGGCAACGAUGCGUAGCCGACCUGAGAGGGUGAUCGGCCACACUGGAACUGAGACACGGCCCAGACUCCUACGGGAGGCAGCAGUAGGGAAUCUUCCGCAAUGGGCGAAAGCCGGACGGAGCAACGCCGCGUGAGUGAUGAAGGUCUUCGGAUCGUAAAACUCUGUUAUUAGGGAAGAACAAAUGUGUAAGUAACUAUGCACGUCUUGACGGUACCUAAUCAGAAAGCCACGGCUAACUACGUG
rnacentral:rRNA from 1 species